rnacentral:rRNA from 1 species
AGCUUGUUGGUAGGGUAAUGGCCUACCAAGGCUAUGACGGGUAGCGGGUGUGAGAGCACGACCCGCCUCACUGGGACUGAGACACUGCCCAGACUCCUACGGGAGGCUGCAGUCAAGAAUCUUCCUCAAUGGCCGAAAGGCUGAAGGAGCAAUGCCGCGUGAUCGAAGAAGCCCUUCGGGGUGUAAAGAUCUUUUAUCAGGGACGAAUUCGUGACGGUACCUGAUGAAUAAGCCACUGCUAACUUCGUGCCAGCAGCAGCGGUAAUACGAAGGUGGCAAGCGUUAUCCGGAUUGAUUGGGCGUAAAGCGUCCGCAGAUGGUUUGAUACGUCGUUCGUCAAAUCCUGAAGCUCAACUUCAGGGCUGCGAACGAAACGGUCAUACUUGAGGCCGGACAAGGCAAGCGGAAUUACCGGUGUAGCGGUAAAAUGCGUUAAUAUCGGUAAGAACACCAAAAGCGAAGGCAGCUUGCUGGGACGGUUCUGACAUUAAGGGACGAAAGCGUGGGGAGCGAAUGGGAUUAGAUACCCCAGUAGUCCACGCUGUAAACGAUGGGUACUGAGCAUUGGGAGUAUCGACCCUCUCAGUGUUGUUUAAUUAAGCUAACGCCUUAAGUACCCCGCCUGGGAAGUACGGUCGCAAGACUAAAACUCAAAGGAAUUGACGGGAACCCGCACAAGCGGUGGAGCAUGUGGUUUAAUUCGACGGUAAGCGAGGAACCUUACCAAGGCUUGACAUGUCUGGAAUUCCCCAGAAACGGGGAAGUGCCCCUCACCUUUUGAACGUCCAGCUCAGCUGGAUGAUUGCAGGAGCAAUUCACGGUAACGUGGGCUGCGGUUGCAUGAUUAAAAAAGUUAAAAAAGUGAGGGGGAACCAGAACACAGGCGCUGCAUGGUUGUCGUCAGCUCGUGUCGUGAGAUGUUGGGUUAAGUCCUCUAACGAGCGCAACCCUUGUCCUAUGUUCAAUAACCGUAGGAGACUGCCUGGGUUUAACCAGGAGGAAGGUGGGGAUGACGUCAAAUCAGCAUGGCCCUUACGCCUUGGGCUACACACGUGCUACAAUGGCCGGUACAAUGGGUCGCAAAGCGGUAACGCGGAGCUAAUCCCAUCAAAACUGGCCCCAGUUCGGAUUGAGGUCUGCAAUUCGACCUCAUGAAGCCGGAAUCGCUAGUAAACGCGAAUCAGCCAUGUCGCGUUGAAUACGUUCUCGGGUUUUGUACACACCGCCCGUCACACCAAGAGAGUCGGUAGUACCCGAAAGUUGACAUUAGUCGAAAUAAGGUAAGACCGAUGAUAGGGGUGAAGUCGUAACAAGGCAUCCGUAGCGGAAGCUGUGGAUG